rnacentral:pre_miRNA from 1 species
AAUAGUUUUAUGCCACAUCAGUAUUCUUAUCCUGAAUUUCAGUAUUUUAAUUUGGAUUUGAUUUUCUUCAGGAUAAAAUCCUGAAAUUCAGGAUAAGAAUAUAAAAUCUUGAAAUUCAGGAUAAGAAUACUGAUAUGGCAUAAAACUAUU